rnacentral:lncRNA from 1 species
UGCUACAUCUGUGCAACGCCGGAGAUAACCCCGGUGAGGGGCAAAAUUGUCAUUUUUCCACCUCAAUACUAAAUUCACAUCGUCUCAACAUCAUUUCAAUCAACACUUCAUACAAGGUGUCCCAUAAGAAUCAUAGCUCAAAUCCCGAGUGAGUACUACACAAGACAACACACUGGAUAGAUUUUGAAGACUUGAAGAUCUGGUCAUAGACCCAUCUUCCCGAUUUCGUAC